AUUUAAGAACAUCAAUUAUGCUCAUAUUUAAUAUUCAAAGAUCAUUUUUCGGAGGC
rnacentral:tRNA from 1 species